rnacentral:rRNA from 1 species
GUCCAGACUCCUACGGGAGGCAGCAGUGGGGAAUAUUGCACAAUGGGGGGAACCCUGAUGCAGCGACGCCGCGUGGGCGAGGAAGUAUUUCGGUAUGUAAAGCCCUAUCGGCAGGGAAGAAGAAAUGACGGUACCUGAAUAAGAAGCACCGGCUAAAUACGUGCCAGCAGCCGCGGUAAUACGUAUGGUGCAAGCGUUAUCCGGAUUUACUGGGCGUAAAGGGAGCGCAGGCGGCGCGCCAAGUCUGAGGUGAAACCCGGGGCUCAACCCCGGGCAUGCAUUGGAAACUGGCGGGCUGGAGUGCCGGAGAGGUAAGCGGAAUUCCUAGUGUAGCGGUGAAAUGCGUAGAUAUUAGGAGGAACACCAGUGGCGAAGGCGGCCUGCUGGACGAUGACUGACGUUGAGGCUCGAAAGCGUGGGGAGCAAACAGGAUUAGAUACCCUUGUAC